GAUGAACGCUGGCGGCGUGCCUAAUACAUGCAAGUCGAGCGAACAGACGAGGAGCUUGCUCCUCUGACGUUAGCGGCGGACGGGUGGGUAACACGUGGAUAACCUACCUAUAAGACUGGGAUAACUUCGGGAAACCGGAGCUAAUACCGGAUAAUAUAUUGAACCGCAUGGUUCAAUAGUGAAAGACGGUUUUGCUGUCACUUAUAGAUGGAUCCGCGCCGCAUUAGCUAGUUGGUAAGGUAACGGCUUACCAAGGCGACGAUGCGUAGCCGACCUGAGAGGGUGAUCGGCCACACUGGAACUGAGACACGGUCCAGACUCCUACGGGAGGCAGCAGUAGGGAAUCUUCCGCAAUGGGCGAAAGCCUGACGGAGCAACGCCGCGUGAGUGAUGAAGGUCUUCGGAUCGUAAAACUCUGUUAUUAGGGAAGAACAAAUGUGUAAGUAACUAUGCACGUCUUGACGGUACCUAAGCAGAAAGCCACGGCUAACUACGU
rnacentral:rRNA from 1 species